CAAGUUAGUGUCUCGGGCC
rnacentral:miRNA from 1 species